rnacentral:pre_miRNA from 1 species
UGCUCAGGAUGGCGCUGAUUACAUACUCUAGGAGUGAUUAGCAUCUGCCUGGGCCGA